UCGCGGCCGCAGUUCGCGGUUGUGGCAGCGACGGCGGCGGCUGGCUCCCAUCUCGGCUUUUUGCGCGGCCAAAAACGGCCACGGAGCUGGAAAAUCGAAACUGGCAACAAGAUGUGGCUGCCAUUAAUUACCGUAGCGGCAACACUGAGCUUCUCCCUCCAGCUGCUCGUUCCUAUGGAUCGUAUGGCAUGUGCCCGAGAUAGGAAAGAAGACUAUAUCUGUUACAUAGAUGUUUAAUCCAUUCAAGUAUGUCCAAUCAGGACGAUUUGUGACUUCCUAUAAAUGCCUGUCGCAUUGUAGCGCCGAUCCCGAGAUCUUUAUCUGGACCUUGACCUGUGGCUGUGGUGGAAGCCCUUAUCCGACAUUGGCGGCGACAAUGCGACAUUUGUGAGCAGCAGAAGCGGAGCAUCUCCGCUGAUGCUGAUGCUGAUGCCGAUGCUGACACCUUUGCUGGUCUCGGGAAGAGGAGUCAUGAGAACGCAGACACAGACGCGGGCAAAUUAGAAUAACUUAAAUACACGGCGGCACGCAUUAAGCGGCACCGGGUUCCGGGGCAGCGAUAUUAUCAUCUGAAUCGGCAUCGCCAGCGAGCCGCUGCGAAUCCUUUUUCACUCUUCUCUCGCCCGCUAUCAAAAAGUAAUAAAUCUGCCGCUGAUCCAU